UGAUGUUAAACAUUUAAAUGUAUACUUUUCUAUUUAUUGGUAGUUGUUCGAAUGAUUAUUGUUAUUUGUUAGAACUUGCAGUUGUAGCCGACUUUGUUUUGCUGCCAGAAGUAGUAAUGAUUUGAAAUGGCUGUUGUAUGGUGUCACAACUAGUAACUACAAAGAGUGACCUAUUUUUGUAGGAAUUGUUUCCGUACGUUUAAAAAAAAUGUAUUAAUGAACAAACCUUUACAUUAAUGAAAUUCCCGGAUAUAGCAUGUGUUUAUAUGAACUACAUGCCGAAUGCCGAUAUGUGUGGAGUGUGGUUGCUCACUGUAUAUGCAGAGUUGGGAUGUGACUGAAAACAUUGAAGUUUCGUUACCGUUGGAAGAUUUCAUGUACAUAGUACAUACUAUGCAAAAUGUGGAGUCAAUUGUACGCUGACGAAAGCUGCAAAACAACUGAGCCAGCUCCACAAGCACGACCUGACUGAAGCAUUAAAUCUUAUUUGUCUGUGAAUAUUUCGCUACGUAGCUUGUCAGCCUUCAAUUUGAUUUUGGUGCCAAUCUGAAUAACUGUACAGCCAGUGCUGAAAAAUCCUUUAGCAAACUGAAGCUAUUUAAAAACUCCGAAGCACAAUGGGUAACUAAACGAUAGAUUAAGCAGUUUACAGUUUAGCCAUCAUCUCAAUCAAGAACUUAACAGCAAGACAACUUGACAAGAAAGAGCUGGCCCAAUUUGAUGCUCUUUCCAAACCUAAGAGAGUUGCUUGGAAUAUGAACUGUACGGUAAUGUAAAUAUUAUGUAGUAUUGAAAAAUGUAAAUUGAUUUUUAUUUCCAUAUUUUUAUCUGUUAUUGCUACCUGUUA